rnacentral:rRNA from 1 species
GAGUUGAUCCUGGCUCAGAACGAACGCUGGCGGCAGGCUUAACACAUGCAAGUCGAGCGCCCCGCAAGGGGAGCGGCAGACGGGUGAGUAACGCGUGGGAAUCUACCUUUUGCUACGGAAUAACUCAGGGAAACUUGUGCUAAUACCGUAUGUGCCCUUCGGGGGAAAGAUUUAUCGGCAAAGGAUGAGCCCGCGUUGGAUUAGCUAGUUGGUGGGGUAAAGGCCCACCAAGGCGACGAUCCAUAGCUGGUCUGAGAGGAUGAUCAGCCACACUGGGACUGAGACACGGCCCAGACUCCUACGGGAGGCAGCAGUGGGGGAAUAUUGGACAAUGGGCGCAAGCCUGAUCCAGCCAUGCCGCGUGAGUGAUGAAGGCCCUAGGGUUGUAAAGCUCUUUCACCGGUGAAGAUAAUGACGGUAACCGGAGAAGAAGCCCCGGCUAACUUCGUG